rnacentral:rRNA from 1 species
GGGGGCCAGUAUCUUGACCUUCGGGGACGAUAACGGCGUCGAGCGGCGGACGGGUGAGUAAUGCCUGGGAAAUUGCCCUGAUGUGGGGGAUAACCAUUGGAAACGAUGGCUAAUACCGCAUAAUAGCUUCGGCUCAAAGAGGGGGACCUUCGGGCCUCUCGCGUCAGGAUAUGCCCAGGUGGGAUUAGCUAGUUGGUGAGGUAAAGGCUCACCAAGGCAACGAUCCCUAGCUGGUCUGAGAGGAUGAUCAGCCACACUGGAACUGAGACACGGUCCAGACUCCUACGGGAGGCAGCAGUGGGGAAUAUUGCACAAUGGGCGCAAGCCUGAUGCAGCCAUGCCGCGUGUAUGAAGAAGGCCUUCGGGUUGUAAAGUACUUUCAGCAGUGAGGAAGGCGGAUGCGUUAAUAGCGUAUUCGUUUGACGUUAGCUGCAGAAGAAGCACCGGCUAACUCCGUGCCAGCACCGCCGGUAAUAA